AGAGUUUGAUCCUGGCUCAGAAUGAACGUUGGCGGCGUGGAUUAGGCAUGCAAGUCGAGCGCGAACCCCGCAAGGGGGGAAAGCGGCGAAAGGGACAGUAAUACGUAGAUAUCUGCCCUCGGGUCCGGGAUAGCUGCGGGAAACUGCAGGUAAUACCGGAUAACAUCUCCGGAUCAAAGGUGUGAUUCCGCCUGAGGAUGAGUCUGCGUCCUAUUAGCUUGUUGGUAAGGUAACGGCUUACCAAGGCAAUGAUGGGUAGCGGGUGUGAGAGCACGACCCGCGUCACUGGGACUGAGACACUGCCCAGACACCUACGGGUGGCUGCAGUCGAGGAUCUUCGGCAAUGGGCGCAAGCCUGACCGAGCGACGCCGCGUGCGGGAUGAAGGCUUUCGGGUUGUAAACCGCUGUCAGAGGGGAUGAAAUGUAGGUGGGUUCUCCCAUCUAUUUGACAUAUCCUCAGAGGAAGUACGGGCUAAGUUCGUGCCAGCAGCCGCGGUAAGACGAACCGUACGAACGUUAUUCGGAAUUACUGGGCUUAAAGGGUGCGUAGGCUGCGCGGAAAGUUGGGUGUGAAAUCCCUCGGCUCAACCGAGGAACUGCGCCCAAAACUGCCGUGCUCGAGGGAGACAGAGGUGAGCGGAACUUAGGGUGGAGCGGUGAAAUGCGUUGAUAUCCUAAGGAACACCCGUGGCGAAAGCGGCUCACUGGGUCUCUUCCGACGCUGAGGCACGAAAGCUAGGGUAGCGAACGGGAUUAGAUACCCCGGUAGUCCUAGCCGUAAACGAUGAGCACUGGGUUGGAGGGCCCCUCAUAGCCUUCCAGCCGCAGC
rnacentral:rRNA from 1 species